rnacentral:tRNA from 1 species
AUUAUUUUGGCAGAUUAGUGCUUUAAAUUUAGAAUUUAAUUAUAUAGAGUUUUCUAUAAAUAAUA